CCUACGGGUGGCAGCAGUCGAGAAUCAUUCACAAUGGGGGAAACCCUGAUGGUGCGACGCCGCGUGGGGGAAUGAAGGUCUUCGGAUUGUAAACCCCUGUCAUGUGGGAGCAAAUUAAAAAGAUAGGACCACAAGAGGAAGAGACGGCUAACUCUGUGCCAGCAGCCGCGGUAAUACAGAGGUCUCAAGCGUUGUUCGGAACAACUGGGCGUAAAGGGUGCGGAGGGUGUUGCGUAAGUCGUGUGUGAAAGGCGCGGGCUCAACCCGCGGACGGCACAUGAUACUGCGAGACUAGAGUAAUGGAGGGGGAACCGGAAUUCUCGGUGUAGCAGUGAAAUGCGUAGAUAUCGAGAGGAACACUCGUGGCGAAGGCGGGUUCCUGGACAUUAACUGACGCUGAGGCACGAAGGCCAGGGGAGCGAAAGGGAUUAGAUACCCCAGUAGUC
rnacentral:rRNA from 1 species